rnacentral:misc_RNA from 1 species
AUUCAUAUAAAAUGCUAACCAAACGGAACUGAGAGAAGAAAUCGAAUCGAACCAAACCAAACCAAGCCAGUUCGGUUGAAACCGUCCGUUUUGUAUAAUCUCAAACCCUUCUAUUCUCAAACUGUAUCAUUUCCAUGCCUGAACACCGUCUUCCACAGUCUCGGUACAGCGCAAACCCCAAUCCUUAGCUAAAGACUUCCCCAUAUCAUUAACGAAUCCUCAGCAAAGAAACUUCCCCAAAUCAUCAACAACAAUAAAUAUACAAAUAUGCAAAUCAACAUUCCAUUUUCUCUUUUUUU